UCGGAAUUACUGGGCGUAAAGCGCACGCAGGCGGUCUGUCAAGUCGGAUGUGAAAUCCCCGGGCUCAACCUGGGAACUGCAUCCGAAACUGGCAGGCUUGAGUCUUGUAGAGGGGGGUAGAAUUCCAGGUGUAGCGGUGAAAUGCGUAGAGAUCUGGAGGAAUACCGGUGGCGAAGGCGGCCCCCUGGACAAAGACUGACGCUCAGGUGCGAAAGCGUGGGGAGCAAACAGGAUUAGAUACCCUGGUAGUCCACGCCGUAAACGAUGUCGACUUGGAGGUUGUGCCCUUGAGGCGUGGCUUCCGGAGCUAACGCGUUAAGUCGACCGCCUGGGGAGUACGGCCGCAAGGUUAAAACUCAAAUGAAUUGACGGGGGCCCGCACAAGCGGUGGAGCAUGUGGUUUAAUUCGAUGCAACGCGAAGAACCUUACCUGGUCUUGACAUCCAAGAGAUGGGUGCCUUCGGGAACGUGAGACAGGUGCUGCAUGGCUGUCGUCAGCUCGUGUUGUGAAAUGUUGGGUUAAGUCCCGC
rnacentral:rRNA from 1 species